rnacentral:lncRNA from 1 species
CCAGUAUUGAUUUUUACUGUUGCUGUGAUUGUCAUUGCUGUUGCUUCUUCAUCUUAGAGACAUCAAGGGCAUAGCCAAAAUCAUAGAGAAGCAAUGACCUUCUAAUCCUCAAUGGAGUUAAAUUCCCCCAAAUCCCCAGGGACUGGAACUCAGAUGAAGCUUCAGGAGUUCAUAACCUCCUCAGACAUAAAUAAUACAGAUGUCAUCACUAGUGAGGGAGAGCUCAGCUCAGCGGAACUCAACAUAUGAGAUAAUAGGAGACUACAUCACAGAACACUAGGGCACCAUGUCCGCCCACAACAAUGGGUCAGCGACGGACAACACAGUGCAGACUGAGGGGUCAGGGCACGCUUCAUGGAAGAGCAGUCUGAUUGAGAUGGGAGGGUUACGCUAGGUUUCUCCGGGUUCUCCAGAUGCAUCUAGAAAGUGACAGGAUUGUGU